GACGAACGCUGGCGGCGUGCUUAACACAUGCAAGUCGAACGGAAAGGCCCUGCUUGCAGGGUACUCGAGUGGCGAACGGGUGAGUAACACGUUGGUGAUCUGCCCUGCACUUCGGGAUAAGCCUGGGAAACUGGGUCUAAUACCGGAUAGGAGCCAUUUUUAGUGUGAUGGUUGGAAAGUUUUUUCGGUGUAGGAUGAGCUCGCGGCCUAUCAGCUUGUUGGUGGGGUAAUGGCCUACCAAGGCGGCGACGGGUAGCCGGCCUGAGAGGGUGGACGGCCACAUUGGGACUGAGAUACGGCCCAGACUCGUACGGGACGCAGCAGUGGGGAAGAUUGCACAAUGGGCGCAAGCAUGAUGCAGUGACGCCGCGUGGGGGAUGACGGCCUUCGGGUUGUAAACUCCUUUCGCUAGGGACGAAGCUUUUGUGACGGUACCUAGAUAAGAAGCACCGGCUAACUACGUG
rnacentral:rRNA from 1 species